CUCCUACGGGAGGCAGCAGUGGGGAAUAUUGGACAAUGGGCGAAAGCCUGAUCCAGCCAUGCCGCGUGAGUGACGAAGGUCUUCGGAUUGUAAAGCUCUUUUACCAGGGACGAUAAUGACGGUACCUGGAGAAUAAGCCCCGGCUAACUUCGUGCCAGCAGCCGCGGUAAUACGAAGGGGGCUAGCGUUGUUCGGAAUUACUGGGCGUAAAGCGCACGUAGGCGGAUUUGUAAGUUAGGGGUGAAAUCCCGGGGCUCAACCCUGGAACUGCGCCCGAAACUGCACGGCUUGAGUCCGGAAGAGGGUUGCGGAAUUGUCGGUGUAGAGGUGAAAUUCGUAGAUAUCGGCAAGAACACCUGUGGCGAAGGCGGCAACCUGGGUCGAGACUGACGCUGAGGUACGAAAGCGUGGGGAGCAAACAGGAUUAGAUACCCUGGUAGUCCACGCCGUAAACGAUGUUCACUAGGUGAUGGGUUGCACGCGCGACUUAUUGCCGUAAGCUAACGCGUUAAGUGAACCGCCUGGGGAGUACGGUCGCAAGAUUAAAACUCAAAGGAAUUGACGG
rnacentral:rRNA from 1 species